rnacentral:rRNA from 1 species
UUCUAAAUCCUCCUUUAGACAAACAUUUCAUUUUGUCGUCCGUUUUCGCUUAAUUAGCGAAUGUAGCCCAUUUCUUCCCCCUCCAUGCACUACACCUCGACCUAACGUUUUAGGCUGGUGCCAAUCUUGCUUACUAUUAGUCCCUCACCGGGUAAACUGACGACGGUGGUAUAUAGGCGGAAAAAACGUAGGGGGGGUGAGGUUUAACGGGGGUUAUCGGUUCUAGAACAGGCUCCUCUAGGUGGAUCUAAUCCUGAUCCAACAUCGAGGUCGUAAACC